UGUAGGCGUUGAGCGUACGCUGGCACAGGGCGGAGCGGACGCAGUCUUGUUUGUCAAAGCGGAUGAUGCCGAUCAUUUCAUCCUCCUCGAAGCGUUCCAUCGCAUCGCUGAGGCCGGACUUCACGCCGCGUGGCAAGUCGCAUUGGGUGACGUCACCAUUAACGAUUACCGUUACGUUCUCACCCAAACGGGUC
rfam:Serratia proteamaculans 568, complete genome.